rnacentral:rRNA from 1 species
AACGAACGCUGGCGGCAGGCCUAACACAUGCAAGUCGAACGCUCCAGCAAUGGAGAGUGGCAGACGGGUGAGUAACACGUGGGAACCUUCCCUUUGGUUCGGAAUAGCCCAGGGAAACUUGGGGUAAUACCGGAUAAGCCCUUACGGGGAAAGAUUUAUCGCCGAAGGAUGGGCCCGCGUCGGAUUAGCUAGUUGGUGGGGUAACGGCCUACCAAGGCGACGAUCCGUAGCUGGUCUGAGAGGAUGAUCAGCCACACUGGGACUGAGACACGGCCCAGACUCCUACGGGAGGCAGCAGUGGGGAAUAUUGGACAAUGGGCGCAAGCCUGAUCCAGCCAUGCCGCGUGAGUGACGAAGGCCUUAGGGUUGUAAAGCUCUUUUGGCGGGGAAGAUAAUGACGGUACCCGCAGAAUAAGCUCCGGCUAACUUCGUGCCAGCCGCCGCCGUAAUAC